UUUAAUGAGAGUUUGAUCCUGGCUCAGGACGAACGCUGGCGGCGUGCCUAAUACAUGCAAGUAGAACGCUGAGGUUUGGUGUUUACACUAGACUGAUGAGUUGCGAACGGGUGAGUAACGCGUAGGUAACCUGCCUCAUAGCGGGGGAUAACUAUUGGAAACGAUAGCUAAUACCGCAUAAGAGUAAUUAACACAUGUUAGUUAUUUAAAAGGAGCAAUUGCUUCACUGUGAGAUGGACCUGCGUUGUAUUAGCUAGUUGGUGAGGUAAAGGCUCACCAAGGCGACGAUACAUAGCCGACCUGAGAGGGUGAUCGGCCACACUGGGACUGAGACACGGCCCAGACUCCUACGGGAGGCAGCAGUAGGGAAUCUUCGGCAAUGGACGGAAGUCUGACCG
rnacentral:rRNA from 1 species